rnacentral:lncRNA from 1 species
AUGACUGGGCACGAACAAAAGAGUGUUGGGGGGGUUGGUGGAAGGGCGGCCCUAGCCCUACUUAUAGGCAGCAUAAUCAGUUUGAGCAGCCUGAGCGCGGCAAUACCCCCACUUCACAAUCCAAGGAAGAACGUGUGGCUUACGAUCGCAAACAGGACCGGCCAGACAUCGUUCUGCCUGUCUAUGGGCAAGGUGGGUGACCCUUUCAGGACAUGUUUAAUCGGUGUCCCCACCUGGAGGGCAGAGGAAUUCAAGGCAUAUGUUAGUAACGAGACAACCUUGAACUUCACAGCCGUUAAUAAGACGAUAAUGGCCCCAGGGUUAAACAAGUGGCAACGUGAUGGGGGGUGGCAGUGUCAUGUUAUCCUGGCCUUGAACAAAACCCUAAACUCAGACCCUGAGGAGUUGGAUCUCUUCGGCUGUAUGGCCGCCAGCACCUCGGAAGAUGAUACGGGCGGGUAUGUCAGCUUCCUUCCCCCUGAGGGGAUGCUCACUGAGCGGUCAUCAAAAUGGGCAACCUUGAAUUCCGCCUUAAAUAGCGGUGACGUGCACGGCCAGGUGUAUACGAACUGCAAUGCAACAAGCCACACAACAGCGAAAGCGCUGCCGCCUGGUAUAUUUCUGAUAUGCGGGGAUAGGGCCUGGAACGGCGUGCCACGCAUCCUGCGAGGAGGCCCGUGCUACUUGGGGAGAUUGAGUCUGUUCCACCCCAAUCUCACCCAACUGCAGAACUUGACGAAGCACGGGUGGGGUAGAAGGAGUGGGCAUGAGCUAGAGCGUAAGGAUAUUGGCGAUCCCGUAUUUUGGUCAGACUUCCGGCAGCUGGUAACCGCUAUGCUACUGCAAGGAGCCGCUGGGCUUAAGGCGAUGAAAUUGGCGGAGCAACUGGCCUGUUGGACUAAAAAUGAGUUAAAUAUUACAUCGCUAGUGCUAGAUGAGAUGUCCCAGGAUGUGCUGAGCGUAAACCACGCUGUGCUACAAAAUAGGGCYGCCAUAGACUUCUUACUCUUAGCUCAUGGUCAUGGGUGUGAAGAAUUUGAAGGAAUGUGCUGUCURAAUCUUACAGACCACUCGCAACCAAUCCAUGAGCGUAUAAGGAACAUUCAGAAUGGGCUACAUGAGCUGAAGCAGGAGAAUGGCCUUGGGAUUGACGGGUGGCUUCGGGGGCUGGGGAUCGGGCCCUGGUUGGCGGCRGGACUAAAACAGCUGGUUACCGUAGGUGCCGUGGGUAUGCUCCUAUUGAUUUGUGGGCCCUGCAUACUGCAAUGCAUCCUAGCUCGGGUACAAAAAAUGGUUGGUCUAUUAUUUGACCGCAGAGGGGGAGGUGUUGGGGCCCUUGCGGUGCUUCAGAACCAUAAUCUAUAUGAGAGAAUAUUGAACUAG